CAGCUUUAAAUGACGUUUAUUCUGAAUGACAGGAUACAAAAACGAGGGCUCAAACCUUGAAGGUUGCAGGCUUCUUACAGAAUUUAUUUCAAAUCCCCAGACAAGGUUGGCAAUGCUGGUCAGGGAGCAUUUAAUAAUAAACACUUUCUCAGAAGCUACUGGGGAGUUGUCCUUGAACAAGGAGUUACACUAAUUUCUACAGAACAGCUGUUCACUCAAAGCUGCUGCCCACUAAAAGUGAGUUACGUUCGCUUUAGACUGGGGGAAAAGAGCAUGUAUCAGUUAACUUCCCUGGAUGAAUGAAGGUAAGAAAAAGCACACACCGUUGGGCAGUUCGCCUGUGGAAAAUACAGUCCAAAAUGGAAAAAUGGACUGUCUCUACAGACUAAUAUGAUUGUUUUUGGACCUGAGGUGAGUAAAACGUAGACCACAUACUCCAGACACCAACACCAGGAAAUUUUAGCAACUGUCUGUGCUAAGUGAAAGUGAUGUUUCAGCUGAAUAUUACAAAUUAUCUGUAAGUAGAACCCAAUACAUUGUAACAACCCAUCUAACGUUCUUUAUUUUUGGCAUAGAUGCUAAUUCUGGUUAAUCUACCACUUAGGAACAAAUAUCUACUCAAUGGAAUAGCAUGACUUUUGGUACAUGGAUUCAUGAACCUAAGAGAAAUAUCCCAAUGUCUUUGGUGAUCGAUGACUUUUGAUCUAGAGGUGGUUCAGAGUGAAAUAUCUGGAUAACUAUUGGAUGGAUUGAGUUGAAUUUGGUACAGACAUUUAUGUACCAAAACUUAGUGCCAUCAAAAAUGUGUCCAGUACUUUCAUUUAUGACUAAAUACCUGCGAAGCUAAUGACAUUUUUACACAAACGUAGCCUCAGUUUAACAUUGUGUUUAGUCGAACCCAUUUGCUAAUUAGCAAAUGUUAGCAUGCAAACAUGCUAUGCUAAAAUAAUGGGCAUGGUAAACAUUGUACCUGCUAAAUUUGCAUGCUAGCAUUGUCAUUGUGAGCAUGUUAGCAUUCUGAUGUUGCAUGUAGCUUAAAGCACCGCUGUUGCUAUAGCACGGAACUGCAAGCCCUUUCCCCCCUUAUCAAAAUAUUUCUGUUUUUCGUAAAAGCAGGUAAAGAGACAGAGAGCUGAAAGGAAAACAAGGAAAAAGACUCACAUUGGGGUAAUGGAAGGAAAAGAUGAUGGCAUCUAUCCAAGGCUGACUUCCCGCACUGGCCUUGUUGUAACUACGAAGAACUAGAAUUACACGUCUCUUCAAAUUGAUUCUGACUCUAUAUACUCUUACAGUAAUGGAGUUAUUUUUGGAAGAGUUUCACGCUUGCCAGUUGGUCUCCUUUCUCUCUCCAACUUCCACUUUCCACUCACCUAGAGUGAACAGAAGACAAGGGCGUCCAAGACAACCUCACCGUUUCACUACUGUUUCUAAAAACACAGCAAAUUGAGCGAGGAGACAUAUGGUUUGCUGUCACUUGCCUCCAAAAGACAAGUUUUACGAACAAUAUUAAGAAGCGUGAGAGAGAGAAAAUGCAAAGUGAGAGAGAAAAGGCAUGUCAGGUGUAAACACAUGGGAACAAGAGAAACAGAGACAGAAAAAGGAGAGCAAGAGAGCUUCAUCCACUUUACCCAGCUUUGAUCUCCUUAAUGGGGUGCUGGCCUAGCUCCAGGUGGGAUGUGUUGCCAGGGGCAACGGGACAAGAGAGGAGGCUGAUAAGGCAGGCCCAGCUCUGAGCUUUGGGGGCUGCUCAGACAAAACCCACUCCACAUUGGCCUCCUUACUGUAUAAUGCUCAGUGUACUUUAGAAAUGACUAAAUGAAACAGCGAGUAAAGUUUAGGGAAGAGAACAAAAUAACUCCAGGUGUUUACAAGUGCUGCUGGAUCCUCCUUUUUUUGGCAGUAUGCCUCAUCUGGACGAUGGUGGAGUCUGACAAUACAAUGACCUUUAUGACUUUGAAAAGGCCUGCGUAAAUCUGAAAAGGCUUACAGAGCUUUAGCUGAUUUGAGAGCUCCAGCGAGCAAUGGCUAACCAGUGGUUGGCCACUGGGCAAGUAGCAGCUUAAAAAGGGGUUUAUUCUCUUAAUUUUACAGUUGAACUCUCUUAACUCCCUCCCAGACACUCCUUCUCUCUUUUUCUUUUCCUCCAUCUCCUCUUUGAACUCCCCUGCCUAUUUCCUGACCUCUCUCCCUCAUCUGUCUGUCUCUCUUCAGUGGCCACUCCCUUCAUCUCUGCCAGAAGCCUGGACUUUCUUUGAUAUUGUGCAGGAUUAGCUCAGAGCUGUCCGUCUGCGUGUUUGGGUGUGUCUGAUAUAGGGGCUUUUGCAUUGAAUCUAAUCGCUGCUUAUUCACACUUUGACACACACACACACACACACACACACACACACAGUGAUGGAUAGAAUAACGAAGAGAAGAUAUUAUUACAUCCUGCUAAAGGGCAGAGUCAGAUCUUCCCAUCAGUUAUGAGACUGUUUACCUAUUUCAAGAAUUUUAAUUAUUAAGUUGUGUCUCAGUGGAAUGUAGUUCUGAGAUAUUAAGUAGAACUGUUAUUUACUCUGUAUCUUAUUAAACAGUUAAUCCCAAAUGGCCCUCCAUUCAAAUGUGACACCACAAAAGAAAAUCAGAGUAUAAAUAUGUGGAUGAAUAUGUUGAGAAAAGGUUGACCUUUAUGUGUAGACAUGCCAUAAGAAACAAUCUAUUGCAUUGUAGGACUCUUAAGUCCAUAGAAGAUUAUAGUGAAUAUAUUUCAUUAAAUAUAUAGCGCACAAAUUUCAAUCAUUCUCACUACUCGGACAUGUAAACAAAAUGGCAAAGGGUGAAGAUAUUGCACUAUAUUGUAAAUAAAAAGGAAUUUCAGACACAGGUCUUGAAUUUGAUGAUCACACAUUCCCAAUAUCGCUGACAACCGUUUAAAAUGUAACAAAACAAAGAGUCUGUAGCCACGUUAGCUACUCAGUGAGGCUGUUGUGCACGUAGUAAAGAAACCCAAAUUGUAAAAUGGAUAAAUGUUGAGGUCCCAUGUUUUUUACCAGUCAAGGUAGAGUAAAUGUAAAAGUGCUGGUGGUUGUCAUGCUAACAUGCUCAAAUUGGCCAUUUUAAAAUGUUGUUUGGCAAGCAGUGUUUAGCGUCUUAGCACUGAACACAAAGUAAAGCUGAGGUUGAUGGGAAUGUGAUUAGUUUUUUAGUUAUUUGGUCAUAAACCACAGUAUUGGACACACUUUCACGCUCGACACUAGAAGAAAAGGGAUAGCCCAGCUUAUUGCAGUUCAUUCUGUGGGGAACAUACCUGUAAAAAAGAUUCAUGGCCGUUCAUCCAGUCACCUGUACUUUACCAUAGUUUUUUUUUUUUUGUACAGCAAUCUUUUCUUUAUAGCUGUCAUAGAGAGUUCAUAUUUCAAACAUGUUGGCAUUGGAUGGGGAAAAAAACAGAGUUGUCCAAUAUUGACAUUAUUGUUGAUCCACUGGUUGUAGAGACAUUGUGUCAUCAUCCUGAAUCUGGCCAUCAUCACCCUCCCAACAGCCACCAGUGCCGGUCCUAUCGUUUUAUCUUCAUGACUCCUUCUCUAAAAUAUUAUUCUGUGUCCUGCAAAAUAUUAUUUUGUUUUCCAUAAGAUUCCACAGAACACGGAAUAAUAACAGCACAGGACUUUACAGAGAAGGGUUAAUGGGCCGCAUGUUAAAGCUCAUGGGAAAUGCAUUGCCGGCACACCAGGAGGCUUUCCUCACACUGAUGGAGAGGAGGGUGAGAAGAGGAGGCAUGGGGGGUGGGGGUAGAGCAAGGUUCACUGGUUCCCAAACUCCUGCAGAGCUUCAGUAGCCUUCACUGCCACCCUGAAACUCCUCUCACCCCUCCUGUCUCCCCUCUUUUUUCCCCUUCACUGCCCUCCAGCACCGCUCUCAAGCUUUCGCCAUUCUUUUGUCUGUGCCCCCCCACCGGCUAAAUGCUCUCACCUACUAGCCUUUAACACCUCCUCCAGGGCUCCCUAUGUUCUGGUAUCUCUCCUAAACCUCUCGUUCUUCUCAUCACCCAUGAAAAGUUCCCUUCCUCAUCCCACCCCUCACAGCUUUUGUCACAACAUACCCAAAAAUCUAAAUAAUCUUCCACACAUGCUCAUGUAGAAGUCUGUUUGUGCUUGGGGGCUCUCUCCCUUAUAUCUCUGGGUUUUACUGUAUGCAGUAAAUUACAUCUGAGACUCUGCUUUAUGACUGAAGGUCAAUAUUGACUUUCUAAAAAACCAGCAAGGUGGGGGAGAGAGACAGAAAGAGACAGAGAGGGAGAAAGAGAGAGAGAGUGUCGUCAGUGUGUUCUCUGAGGCUAUCUGCUUGACUUUUUGUUUGGGUGCCCCUCGGCUUAACAUUAUUGAAAAUGGCAUGUACUCAAAGUCAACACAGUUAGAGAUUUUCCUUCAGAAGAAGAAGCUUUUGCCGACAUUUGUUUAUGUACAGAACAUAAAGAAAACUUCAAAAGAUUUGAAAAAUGCUGCAGCAGAUCAUGCAUUACAGAAAACACAAAUUCAAGGACCUCCAGAGAAUAACUGAGGGCAGUUAAAUAAUGCUGCUCAUCAGUCAUCAUUAUCUUAUAUUUUUAUAUAUGUUUUUAUUUAAGAAAGUGUUAGUGUUAGUGUUAAAAUACCUGAGUGUAAGCUGACAAAUGGGAAACACUAUAAGUAAACUAUAAGUAACAAAUGGACUAUACUAAUAAAUGUAUUCUCCUUUAAGCUGCUUGAGGAGGGGAGCUAAGGCUUGAGAAAGAAAACUAAUCAAACGGAGAAAUCUGUCUCUUGGGGCCCACUGUGCCUUGUGCAUGGAGGAAUCACACACACGAAAACACACAUACAGACACGUGUGCAGAUACACACUUAGGCCAUAUGCUUUCGAUGUUGUCAGGCCUGUCGUCUGUCUACAUCAUGUACGGGUUUUGGCAUGCAGCCUUCCUCCGGGUUACAAAAAGCGCAGUCUUUUGUGUUUCGACAACUAUUCCUCACAUCCCUACCUGGCCCAGCAGGCCUGUUUAGAGGUGCAGGCAAGCAAAACCACACACACACACCCCUCUAAGUUUUUCUUUUAGCCUAACUUCUUGCAGUUCCUCUUCUCAAUUUAAUUCAAGUCAAUUCAAUUGGGGCUUCAUUGGCAUGCAAAACAGACGCUCACAUUGCCCAAACAAGUGUGAAAUAGAAAUAUACAUAAACUGAAGAAUUGUGAUUUUCUCCUUGCUCACACUUUUUUUUUAUUCUUCCCUCUUGUUCACAGAGAAACUAGCUGCUGAAAUCUCCUUUUAGUGUGAACGUCCUAUGAGAGACUAAAGCAACCUAAUGGUAAUUUGUAAAAGUAAAAGAGGUAUAGCCAACACAUGCUUUGUUAAACUUAUUUCCCAAUUAGUACAAGUUUAUUUUUGCAGUUUCUUGUAAUCUCUAAAUACAACCAUCACAUGUCAAUUACCCUCUUUACUGCUUAGAUCAUUUUAAAAUUUCUUUUAAGAGUGAUUUUGAAAACAAAUAUUUCUGGUGACCAUAGAGGGUUUUUUUCUCCCUGAGUUAUACCUCUCAGACUGCAGCCCUACUACACUACAACACGUUCUCAUACCCUGACAACAAAAUAGGUCUACUGUCAAUUGUCCCAACAUAUAAGACCAUUUUCUAAAACAAACUAUAUGUCCGUUUGAAAGUGCAACGACAUAUAUGACAGUUCCCCAAAAUGACAUGUCAGAGCAUUGGCAAGUAUCAGACUAGAGUAGAAUAGAGAGUAGAAUCCAACAGUUUCACACACCAAAACGUGCACUUAAAAAGCAACAAUCAUAGGCAAUAACAACUAUAACUCUACUGUACAACAUGAUAUAUAAAUAUUACAUUUCCUUACCUUUCCUUUUCCAUAACAUAAUGAGGUUUAAUCAAUGUAAGACUACAAAAACUAAAAAUACCAUCUUUGUUUGCAUGGGCAAUGACUGCCAGAGCAGCAAUUAUCUUGUUUUAAAAUUGACUGGAUUCUAGGAACAGUAGUUGCUAUAUUGGUAGUGGCUAAUGGGGAUCCAAAUAAAGAAAUCAAUCUGUGUUAAGUCUACAGUGUAUAGUGAGUUUAUUUGGCCGCUAUGUAAGCAGAGAAAACAUUCAGGUAGAUUUAGGGGAAGCUAUAUAAGUGCACUGCCUUUGUUUUCCUGUGGUUAACUUGCUUAACAGUGGCGAUCUCGCUGUGGUCGGCUGUUUAUCGUUUUGGAGUAGGGGGUCCCUGUGGUGGUUAAGGUUCACUUAGAAUUUUACAGGAAACUGUGGCCUAAAAACCCAGCCUGGCAUUUCACAUACACUUGCGUGGUUACACUUAAAGAGGUCAAGAGGAGAGGAACGUUUGGGGUUUACCUCAGACGUUUACCAUGAUGGUACAAAAUCAUGUGUUUUCUAAGUGUGCGUGUGUCUGCUGUAGGUGGUAAAGUUAACAUACUCAUGUGCUUAACUACCUCGGGUGAGUAAAAACAGGCAUCCAUCAAACUGACCGGGCUGCCUGUUGGUUUGGUUGUGUUUGAGCACUUCCUAAACCACUGGUGGUUUGCUGGAAUAUUUGAGGUCUGAGGCUACGGUGGCCACUGUUUCCGCCUGCAUUGUUUACCUGCCCAAAAGAUGUUUUUGUUUUCCAAACAGGAAGAUCCAAUCAGGGUAAUAAGUGGAUAAUUUUUUAACUAAAGUUGGUGGAAAUAGCUGAGCCAGAGGAUAUUUUGGCAAACCAGAUGCUUAUUGGAUAAACAAGAGGCCGGGAUAUCAGUUAGAAUCACCAAAUCAAGGUUAGACAAUGUUGUUUGACCCUAGCUCUUAAUUAGAAAACAUGUCAAAACUAAUAUGUGUUCUACCUUUGUUUGACACUGCCUUUUGCAAGGGCCACCUUUUUAAUUGGUGAAAGCUGACAUGUUAAUGGUCAGUGUUUUGGUUGACCGUGUUCACUGAAGGGAUCCCUUCCUUACUUCAGCAUAGGUCACCCGCAGGUCAGUGUAGUGCAAGGUCAGAAAGUAGUCCAUUCUCCCGCUGUGUCCUUAGCCAUGUGUAGUAUGUGGGUCAUCUUCAAAAAGGCUGAAGUAUUAGCCUUUGACAUGAAGCAUCAGCAGCUUCCACGGUAGGGUGAACUCCAACUUCAAUUGGAAAAGUAGCGUGGAUAAGGAUAUGGUCAUUGAUUUUAGAAGGAAAUCAUCUCAUCCACCAUCUAAGACCUUCAUCAAAGGAACUGGCAUUGAAUUUGCAGAACAUUAUAAAUAUCUUGGAACAGUCAUUGAUAGUGACCCGACAUUUGCUGCAAAUGCGACUGAUGCUAUCUGUAAGAAGAAGAUUUUGACAAGCAGGUUCUCCGCAAGGCCAGCUCUAUAUUACACUGAACAAACCAAAAACUUCACUUUGAGUUUUAAACUCUCCCCUCUGGCUGGAGAUUUAGGGUACCCCUUUCAUUCCCUGUCCAAUAACCAUGCUUAAUCUGCACAUGUAAUUGAAGAUUUCUUUAUGGUUUUAUUAUGUUCUAUAUGUUGUGUGCACAGGUAAUAUUCUUGUACUGUUGUUUUUGUUUUUGUAUUGUUUUUUUAUCUUGUGCCCCUGACUACAACUCUAGUUUCCCAUUUAGGAUAAUAAAAUGACCUAAAUGAA